GACGAACGCUGGCGGCGUGCCUAAUACAUGCAAGUCGUGCGGACCUUGUUGAAAGGUUUCUUUGAAAAGGUUAGCGGCGGACGGGUGAGUAACACUAGGGCAACCUGCCUGUAAGACUGGGAUAACGCCGGGAAACCGGUGCUAAUACCAGAUCGUUUUUUCCUGCGCGUGUAGGAAUAGGAAAAGGCAUCUUCGGCUGCCGCUUGCAGUUGGGGCCUCGGCGCAUGUGCUAGUUGGCGGGGUAAUGGCCGACCAAGACAACGAUGCGUAGCCGACCUGAGAGGGUGAUCGGGCACAUUGGGACUGAGACACGGCCAAAACUCCUACGGGAGGCAGCAGCAGCGAAUCUUCCGAAAGAGCCGAAAGUGUGAGGGUGCAACGCCGCCGGAGUGAAGAAGGCGUUGGGGUCGUAAAACUAUGUUGCCGUGGACGAACAAGUGCCGUUCGCACAGGGCGGCGCCUUGACGGUACCCGGACAGAAAGCCACGGCUAACUACGUG
rnacentral:rRNA from 1 species